ensembl:lncRNA
CAGAGGUGUCCUGUUAAUCCCAGACACUGAGGCACAUAUCCAAAGUGUGAAGGGUCAUUCUGAUGCUGGGUGAUUCAAGUCCAAUGUUUCACAGGCAAAUUUUUAAACCUGGGCACAAACCCGGGUGGAUAAAAUGCCUUUUGCCUCAGCCCAAGGAGCAGCACUGUCCCCAGGCUUUGACUUGCUGUGGCAAAUAGUGUUUUCCCUUUUGCUCUGGGAAACCUUAUGCUGCUCUUUGGCAGACAACAAUUCAUGUCUUUUUCAUUGCUUCCCAUGAUAUUUCAUUCACCUUUGGGUCAGUUUUAAAGGACAAAUUAUUCUCUUUUUCUCUUUCCAUUUGGCUUCCUAGGGCUCUGCUGGCAGCCUGCACCAGGUCCUCUGUGUCCCGGCCAGCCUCACACCUCCACGGCCCCAGGUUUGGGAGCAAUGGCAGCUCCUGUCCCUCAUUGCACUUUUGUGGGAAGGACUGGGAGUGUGGGCACGUGUGUUUUCUCACAUAAUCCAGGGUAUUUCAGUGCUCUGGAAUGACUCUAACACAGACACAAUUCCAGCACUUCAUCCCACUGCUGCUGGCUCACAGUGAUGCUGGGAGCCCUCGGAAUGUGGACUGUGUCAUAGAACUGUGUGUGGGAGAGGAGAAGGGACAAACCUGGCACAAAUGUUCUGAGAGAGAAGUUGGGGUUCAUUUGCUUCCUCAAACCCAUUCCAGGAAUUGGCUUUGUUGGAUCAGGAAACAAAACCAAGACAAAUGCCUGCAGACACUGGAAAAAGCUUUGUUUUGGUUCAGACCUGGAACACUGUGCAGGAUAAUUGCAGGUAAUUAAGAAGCCUCAAAUCUCAGUAAGUGCAAAGAAGAAACCAGGCAAGCAGCCAUGCCUGGCCCACCCCCUUGUGUCCUGCUAGGCUGACAGCUCCUCCUCACAUGGUGGUAACUCCUGGGAAAAGUGGCAGCUGUGGAUGCAGAUCCAGGGCCACAUCUGCCCUGGUGGCAGCUGCAGCAGAUCUGAGUGAGUGACAAGCCCCUGGCAGCAGGGUCACAGCAUCAGCCCAGCUGGGGGCUGGCACUGAGCAACAGCAAGGAGCUUUGGUGCCCAUCACCAAAGGCUCCCCAGCCUCUUUGGGGCACCCCAGCCCUGCCUGUGCCUCCUUGCACACAAACCUCUGAGCCUGAGCUCCACCAGCAUCCAAACCCAGAAGGCAGGUGUGGUGAAACACUGCCCUGCAGCCAGGGACAGCAAAGGAGAAAGUGAGCAGGAGCAGCAUGGAGCAGCAGGGAUUUUCCCCCUGCAGGAGGUGGACACUCAGGACCUGGGUGAGUGACACAGCACAAAGCCUUGCUCCCCAUUUCCAGGAGGAAAUGGGGAUGGAAAUGCCUCCUGUGGGAUGGGAGGGAUGUGCUGAGUGAAAACAAAGCAACUAGAGCCCUGAUGAGCAAGAGUGAGGGAGUAAGAAUGGAGGGGCUCUGAAGGAGGAAAAUCCCUCAGCAAAUAACAAGACUUGUACAUUGGUUCUACUUAAUAAAAAAUAUGUGAAUAAAUUAACGUUUCCUGCU